rnacentral:snoRNA from 1 species
GCGAUAACUUGGAUGGAAUCUGCUCUAUAGGUUUGUUCACCCUCUUCCAUCAACAUGAUGGAGACGCACACCUCAAUCUAGACGAUGAUGUGAUGUGGUUAGAGUGAGAAUGCUGGCUGUGUGUCCCAUUGGGAAAUCUCCUGUCACAGAGGAUCUCUCGAUUAAAGCCAUCACAUGGAUGAGAUGGCCAUGUGGCAGUAUGUCAGAAC